UACGUAGGGUGCAAGCGUUGUCCGGAAUUAUUGGACGUAAAGAGCUCGUAGGCGGUUUGUCGCGUCUGCUGUGAAAACCCGAGGCUCAACCUCGGGCCUGCAGUGGGUACGGGCAGACUAGAGUGCGGUAGGGGAGAUUGGAAUUCCUGGUGUAGCGGUGGAAUGCGCAGAUAUCAGGAGGAACACCAAUGGCGAAGGCAGAUCUCUGGGCCGUAACUGACGCUGAGGAGCGAAAGCAUGGGGAGCGAACAGG
rnacentral:rRNA from 1 species